rnacentral:rRNA from 1 species
UGCCCUGUGCUGGGGGAUAACCUCGGGAAACUGAUAACAAUACCCCAUAGUCCACUACGCCUGGAACGGUGAGUGGAUGAAAGCCCCGGCGGCACAGGAUGGGCCUGCGGCGUAUCAGGUAGUAGGGGGUGUAAAGUACCCUCUAGCCUUCGACGCGUACGAGUUGUGAGAGCAAUAGCCCGGAGAUGGAUUCUGAGACACGAAUCCAGGUCCUACGGGACGCAGCAGUCGCGAAACCUUGACAAUGCGGGAAACCGUGAUCAGGGGACUCCAAGUGCCAGGAGUAAGAUCCUGUGCUUUUCUUCUCUCUUCAAAGGAUUAUGAAUAAGAGGUGGGUAAGGACGGUGCCAGCCGCCGCGGUAAUACCGGCGCCUCGAGUGGUAGUCGAUUUUAUUGGGCCUAAAACGUCCGUCGCCGGUCUGGUGCAUUCGUGGGUAAAUCAACCCGCUCAACGGGU